rnacentral:lncRNA from 1 species
UGGAUUUCACAAGACAACGAUAUACAUUCAUACAUACCGUGAUAAAAUGAAAUGAAGUGGAAGAAGUGAACCUUCUUUUGAAGCUUUGUGAAUAUAUCAAUGGAACCUCUCGAUGGUUUACAAUAACUCAAACGGAAUCUUCCUUCAAAUUGACUUUCGUUUGAGUUUACAAGUAAUCAAUUUUUGAUCAGGACUUUGGACGACAGAGACGACGAACAUAUUUCAAAUGGAGGACUCACUGACUCUGAGGAAUUUCGCAGUGGUUUAAGGGUGUUUCUCGACUUGUUUAGAAUGGAAAUUUUGGUGGUAGUUACCUGGUGUUUUUGGUGGUGUAAACGACUAUUGCAGCUUGUUUUUCAGCAAGUUGUGGUUGGAGAUAAUGGUGUUGGUUGGUCGUUUGAUGUGAGGAGAUGAAGCAGUAGUGGAAGGAAUGGGAUGUUGGGUUCCGGUGCUGGGUGUGGAGUAGAUUCUGAUGAGUUCUGGGUUAAAAGGGCUGCUGGGCGUUGGUGCUUUAGGAAGCUUCAGUGGGGGUGCAGCGACGGGGAGUUGGAGAUGAGGUGGGGGUCUGUUAGGUUGUCCCUUGGUAUUGGAGAAGAAGUAGAUCCUUUAUUUUGGUCUUAG